AGCAGCCGCGGUAAUUCCAGCUCCAAUAGCGUAUAUUAAGGUUGUUGCAGUUAAAAAGCUCGUAGUUGAAUUUCGGGGUCAGUAGGCUGGUCGUGCCACAGGUAUGUACUGGUCUUACUGAUUCCUCCUUCCUGAUGAACCGUAAUGCCAUUAAUUUGGUGUUACGGGGAAUCUGGACUGUUACUUUGAAAAAAUUAGAGUGUUUAAAGCAGGCUAACGCUUGAAUACAUUAGCAUGGAAUAAUGAAAUAGGACGAUCGAUCCUAUUUUGUUGGUUUCUAGGAUUGACGUAAUGAUUAAUAGGGAUAGUUGGGGGCAUUAGUAUUCAAUUGUCAGAGGUGAAAUUCUUGGAUUUAUUGAAGACUAACUACUGCGAAAGCAUUUGCCAAGGAUGUUUUCAUUAAUCAAGAACGAAAGUUAGGGGAUCGAAGACGAUCAGAUACCGUUGUAGUCUUAACCAUAAACUAUGCCGACUAGGGAUCGGAUGAUGUUAAUUUUUAAUGACUCAUUCGGCGCCUUAC
rnacentral:rRNA from 1 species